CCUACGGGUGGCAGCAGUGGGGAAUAUUGCACAAUGGGGGAAACCCUGAUGCAGCGACGCCGCGUGAGUGAAGAAGUAUUUCGGUAUGUAAAGCUCUAUCAGCAGGGAAGAAAAUGACGGUACCUGAUUAAGAAGCCCCGGCUAACUCCGUGCCAGCAGCCGGGGUAAUACGUGGGGGGCAAGCGUUAUCCGGAUUUACUGGGUGUUAAGGGAUCGUUGAAGGCAGUACAAGCCUGGAGUGAAAUGCCGGGGCUUAACCCCGGAACUUCUUUGGAAACUGUGCAGCUAGCGUGCAGGGGAGGUAAGAGGAAUGCCUAGUGUAGCGGUGAAAUGCGUAGAUAUUAGGAGGAACACCAGUGGCGAAGGCGGCUUACUGGACUGUAACUGACGUUGAGGCUCGAAAGCGUGGGGAGCAAACAGGAUUAGAUAGCCGAGUAGUC
rnacentral:rRNA from 1 species